rnacentral:rRNA from 1 species
UACAGAGGAUGCAAGCGUUAUCCGGAAUUACUGGGCGUAAAGCGUGCGCAGGCGGUUUUUUAAGUCCGUUGUGAAAGCCCCGAGCUCAACUUGGGAAUUGCAGUGGAUACUGGCAGGCUGGAGUACGGUAGAGGAAGGUGGAAUUCCCGGUGUAGCAGUGAAAUGCGUAGAUAUCUGGAGGAAUACCGGUGGCGAAGGCGGCAUCCUGGACCGGCAUUGACGCUGAUGAGCGAAAGCUAGGGGAGCAAACGGG